rnacentral:rRNA from 1 species
GGGUAAACCUGAGAAACCCGAAAGGUCGAAAGAGGAAAUUCAUUCGCGUUUCGAUCGUUGAAGUUGAAUGUUUGUAUGACGGAUGAUGUGCUUCGGCGCAUGUGUUUGCAUCUUAUGUUCUUCGAAUCGAUGUCGAACGCGUGCACUUUUCCUCUAGUAGGACGUCGUGAUCCGUUGGGUGUCUGUCUAAGACUCGGGGUGGAGACCACGUGAUUUUUCGAUUAUGUGGACCCUCGAUGUUCCGACAGACUCGCUCGACGGUAUAAAUAUGGCGCGGGGCCGCUACAUUAGUUAGCGUUCGGCCCGUAGCAAGCACGUUUCGCGUUUGACGGCGAUCGGACCUAGUGCCGAUUCUGUCCCGGAACGACUGUUGGUUACGGUGUUCUCGAACAGACCUCGUUUUGAAACGCCGAUCAACGACGCUAUAGAUUUGGGUACUUUCAGGACCC